GAGAAAUUUUUCUUAGCUUUCAGGCAGAGGGUUUGAUAAGCUACCAGGGAGGUGGUGCUAGCCAGAAAAGAGCAUUUGGGUAGGGUGCCUGCUGGGAAAAGAGCAGGUGAUAGCUUUUCAGAGUUCCCAGCUGGAAGGCCUGGGAGAUGUUCCUGUAAGAAGCAGGAGCCUGUUGAGGGGUGAGUCUUAGCUGAGGGACAUGUAGGGAACAAGAGCCUACUGAGUAAGAAGCUCUAGUUCAGUGGCUGCAAAGGAGUAUGGGUCUGAUUUUUAAAGCUGCUGUCCUGCUGAGUGCUGUAUAGCUGAACUCCCUGAGUGGCCUACAGACUAGUAGGGUUUCAGAAGAGAGGUAGGGGCUAGUAGGCAUCUACCUCCCCAAUUACCCUGUGGGGAUUAUGUGAGUGCCUGUAGAGGGGAGUCUUAGAAAACUGGGAUGUGGUCUGCCCUGCUUGACUAGAGACUUUACCCAAGCCAGGUCCCCUUGAAAAAUGAAGAAAGAGUAGCUUCUACACUGGGCUGUCUCCCUGAAACAAUCACUGUAUAUUUCAUUGCUGUCUUCAACUGUAGUAGCCCUUCCCUUUUACAAGGACAUUUCCACUAUCUAUUGCAAUACUAAAUAAGAGAAAGUUGUACUCUCCUGUCUGCAGUUUCCCCUCUCCCUCAGUAUUCAGGAGACCCUGGGCUGUUCUAUCGGAUGCACUUUGCUACCCUGCUCCUGGACAUCACCAUAGAAUAGGCACUGGACAGAGAAGGAAAAAGCGACUGGAAAAAGCUGAGGGGCUCAGUAAACAUGAUGGCCGCCCAUAGUAGAGGACUUGAGGACAUCAACGAGAAGUGGCAGCUGCUGCGUGAGAAGGCUAAGAGGGCUUUGUAGAAGAUCACUGCCAAAGCGGGGGGACUAAGCCUGGAUAGCCUGCAGCACCUGUGGGUAGUUACAGCACCAAUUCCAGAGGCAGCUGUGGAUGGGAGCAGGAGGUCUGGACCACUCAAAUCUGCAGAGGAACCCGCUACAAAGCCUCCUGCAUCAGCCUGUCCUGUACCCUGCAGCCCUGCACAGCUCUAGGGAGAUUUCCAGAAGGACCACCUCCUGGUGAUGGUUGCCUGGGGGGAGGCAUGUCUCCCCCCACAGGAAGAGGGACAGAUCCUGACAUGCUCCUGAGAUGGUUCACAAGGAGAAAGAAGUUUCCCCCUCUUGUGUCCCUGUGCUCAGGGACUGGCAAGAAUCUUAUUGGAAAGCACUGUCACAGAGUUAAGCUGGCAUAGAGUGGGCAGCAAGUGCAUUCUCUCCAAGGCCACAGCAGCCAAGGAACAACCCAAUAAGAUGCCAGUAAGAAGCAGCCCAGAGAAACAAGACAUUGAUCCUGUGGCGUUCCCUAGAGGUGAGGCAGCAACCUCAUAUUUCCCUGCCAGCUCAGCGAUGGGACCACCCAUCACUUCAAGGACCCUGGGCUGGGACCCCAUUGAUCAGGGUGGACCUGAGUUCCCCUAGGGGCUGGACGAACACUAACCCCUUGGCUGAGGGGCCUCAGCUAUUGCCUAUUUGUUAGCUCAGCCCACACCUGAGGGGCCUGAGCCCUUGAAUAUUUAUCAGUUUAGCCCACAGGCAGGACCCCGAGCUACAGACUCUUUACUGGCCUAGCCCAGAUCCAGGAGGGCCUGAGCUACCACUUGCCCUACAGCUCAGCUGCAAACCAGGACGACUGAUCUCUCCACUCAGCAUGAGCACCAAUUCUGGACUGCCAAAGGGGAUGCCCCAGAAGAGACUCAAGGAAUCUUACAGUCACCAAGACCCAAUUCUGAUCCUUAGAUCCCUACCUUGAAGAUGCUGCAACCUUGUCUAUGAAGCACCUAGCACACCAUUGGCACUGUAGCGCUAAUAAUGAUUAGCAAUGAAUGAAAAAUAUUUCAGCCUGAGUACAGCUAGAAAAGAGUCUUUUCAGAGGACUAUCAAUUUCCCAUGUACCAGUAAGCAAGCUAUAGUGGAUUGAAAUCAUUCUGGAGCACUUUCAAUUUUAUAGAGCUUUAACUAUGAAUUAAUAAAACCCCAAAUACAAGACUCUUCCACUUUCAUUUGCCACAGCUGACUUGGUCAUUAGGCCUGUAACAAAUACCAGCAGCUUCUCUCAGUGUUAUCAGAACCAAACUAAAGAAAAAGAGGAGUUUUUCCUCUGGAGGAUGAGCUAGUGAAUGCUGUUAACUCAGCUCCUAGUCAGUGUAGAAAUGACUCACUGAAAGAUGAUCCACUUUCUGGGAAGGGCAGUGGCACAGCUGAGAUGAGAA